AGGGUAUGAGUUUGUAUUUAUUUUGGAUAAUUUCUAUUUAUUGCCAUAAAGUUUCUAUUUAUUCUAUGGUGUUACGAUUUAUUCUAGUGAGUAUAUAUUUAUUAUGGAGGGGUAUGUAUUUGUUCUAGCAAGAGAGCCAAUAAGAUAGUGAGCAUGAAGAGGAGUUUGUGUUUAUCCUAAGCCCAUUCUAUUUUAUUUGAGAAGUGUGUAUUUAU
rnacentral:lncRNA from 1 species